GGGGAAUUUUCCGCAAUGGGCGAAAGCCUGACGGAGCAAUACCGCGUGAGGGAGGAAGGCUCUUGGGUCGUAAACCUCUUUUCUCAGGGAAGAAAAAAAUGACGGUACCUGAGGAAUCAGCAUCGGCUAACUCCGUGCCAGCAGCCGCGGUAAUACGGAGGAUGCAAGCGUUAUCCGGAAUGAUUGGGCGUAAAGCGUCCGCAGGUGGCUGUGUAAGUCUGCUGUUAAAGAGUGAGGCUCAACCUCAUAAAAGCAGUGGAAACUACACGGCUAGAGUGCGUUCGGGGCAGAGGGAAUUCCUGGUGUAGCGGUGAAAUGCGUAGAGAUCAGGAAGAACACCGGUGGCGAAAGCGCUCUGCUAGGCCGCAACUGACACUGAGGGACGAAAGCUAGGGGAGCGAAUGGGAUUAGAUACCCCAGUAGUCCUAGCCGUAAACGAUGGAUACUAGGCGUGGCUUGUAUCGACCCGAGCCGUGCCGGAGCUAACGCGUUAAGUAUCCCGCCUGGGGAGUACGCACGCAAGUGUGAAACUCAAAGGAAUUGACGGGGGCCCGCACAAGCGGUGGAGUAUGUGGUUUAAUUCGAUGCAACGCGAAGAACCUUACCAAGACUUGACAUGUGGCGAACCCUGAUGAAAGUUAGGGGUGCCUUCGGGAGCGCCAACACAGGUGGUGCAUGGCUGUCGUCAGCUCGUGUCGUGAGAUGUUGGGUUAAGUCCCGCAACGAGCGCAACCCUCGUUUUUAGUUGCCAGCAUUAAGUUGGGCACUCUAGAGAGACUGCCGGUGACAAACCGGAGGAAGGUGGGGAUGACGCCAAGUCAGCAUGCCCCUUACGUUUUGGGCUACACACGUACUACAAUGCUCCGGACAGAGGGCAGCAAGCCGGCGACGGCAAGCAAAUCCCGUAAACCGGAGCUCAGUUCAGAUCGCAGGCUGCAACUCGCCUGCGUGAAGGAGGAAUCGCUAGUAAUUGCAGGUCAGCAUACUGCAGUGAAUUCGUUCCCGGGCCUUGUACACACCGCCCGUCACACCAUGGAAGCUGGCAACGCCCGAAGUCAUUACUCCAACCCUUCGGGGAGGAGGAUGCCUAAGGCAGUGCUGGUGACUGGGGUGAAGUCGUAACAAGGUAGCCGUACCGGAAGGUGUGGCUGGAUCACCUCCUUUUAGGGAGACCUACACCCCUCAAAUAUCGAAAACAAUCAGUAAAUAGAUAUAGAGAUGGUCAAGCCCUAGGUCGGUCGCAGAUAUUUGUUGAAUGCUUUCAAACUAUGAUUUGGUUCGUAAUUGGGCUAUUAGCUCAGGUGGUUAGAGCGCACCCCUGAUAAGGGUGAGGUCCCUGGUUCGAGUCCAGGAUGGCCCACCUGAAGGAGUGCUGAGUGCUGAGUGCUGAGUGCUGAGUAAAAAAAGCUUAGUAUUGAGUACAAAGAAUUCAGAACUACCACAGUGGGAGUAAAUUGAGAAAGCGCGUGUUAGAGAGUAAAAAACUCAGUACUCAGCACUCGGAACUCAGCACUGUUUAGGGGGGUUUAGCUCAGUUGGUAGAGCGCCUGCUUUGCAAGCAGGAUGUCAGCGGUUCGAGUCCGCUAACCUCCACCUGUGAAAGAAAAUUCAGCAACGUGACAUGUACAUAGAUGAUGUCAGACUGCUGGGUAAAACUCAGUCAGAACCUUGAAAACUGCAUAGUAACGCGAAGAUAGCAGGCAGACACAGACAGAGGGAGUGCUGAGUACUAAGUGCUGAGCGCUGAGUGAAAAAUUCAGUGCAAAGAACAAAGUAAGCGGAACUCAAAAGAAAGUGUUUGCGGGUUUUCAACCAAUGUAAAAGUGGUCAAGCGAAAAAGGGCUAAUGGUGGAUACCUAGGCACACAGAG
rnacentral:misc_RNA from 1 species